UCCCUGUUAUUUCACAGCACUCACACUGGGGCUCCCUGAGAAGUAUCUCACCAUGGACACUCUCACUCUGGAUACUUCUUUGGCCUCCCCAAGUGUGUUGUAUGAGGAUCAAUCCAUCCUGGCCUUGUUUUUGAGCCCACAGACAAACCCCAACACCUUCCCCAGCAGCAUUAGCUCCAAAGAAUGGCAACAAACCAGGAGUGGUGAAGGAAAAGGAGACGGGGUCCUUCUACUUGGCGUGAUCCUGAGGACAACUCCCAGCAUCACCCCAAGUCUCUCCAGGACAACAGAGAAACUGCAUGGCUUGGAAGAGCUCCACUCCUGCAGAAGACAGGGCUGUCUCGAGCUGCAAUGGGAGAUUUCAAUUAACAGAAAUGUCUGAAAAGAAGGGAUCACCAAACCCUCAGACUGUUCAAACUCUUGGUGUUGGCAACAUGUAAUAGAGAGAUUAUGCUGUGCAGAAAUUCCUAAAUUGAUUAUGUAUCAAGAUUAAAAGCCCAGGUAAUAAAUGCAAGGAAUAGAAAUUGCCUGUUUAGAACUAUGCAUUAGAACUAGAUGAUAUUAAUGAAACCUAAUAGGAUGACACAUGACAGGAAUGUUGAUUAAGUUGCUUAUAAUCUCUUUAGAAAAGUUCAACUGGACAAAAGAGAAAUAAAACUGACUCACACUAUAAAAUGCUGA